UAGUUUUUAUAUGAAUCUAGCUACUAUCCUUUGAAGAGGACAGAUGACUGUCCUCCAAAGUCGUUUUAGAUAAUAAGAAUUUCGAAUCUAUGAUCGGAACCGUUAAAAUUAAUCUUGGGUAUUUAAAACGUCAAUAAACUAAAUUUCAUGAAUUUUAAAUAGUAUUUACAUAGUGAUCAAAAGAUUACAAAAUCGAUAAUUUUUUACGGUAUAUAGUUGUUUGCUUGUUUAAUGGUGUAGAACAAUUCAAAUAGCUUGAAUUUUUAAUAUAAUUUUUUAUACUAUUUAGAUAAUAU
rnacentral:lncRNA from 1 species